CUAACAAGAGGAUCAUGAUGUCUAUGGUGAAGCAUGAUUUGAGAUUUGCACAGUACAUGUCGCAGGCUGUGGUUUUGGUGAAAGGGAAGAUCUUGUAAAGGUGGGAGUAAGAACCGGCGGCGUAACCCAACACGUUGCCGACCGCCAUGAAAAACGAGAACCACCCGUUCGCGGUUCUCAUCUUUUUGUGGUCAUUAGCCGAGAGGUCCGCGAGGAGAGCUCGACACGGACCUUGCAACAUGUUGUUAGCCACGUCGAGGAUCCAAAACCCGACGACAAAGAUGGCUACAGCUCUCGGUUUGGUCGUUUUCUUCAAGGAAUCUCCCGCAUGGUGGCCAAUGUCUUUGGCGAAACCGAUGAGGAAGACAGCUAUGGAGACAGAGAGAGCUCCAAUGACAAUAAAGGGUCGGCGUCGGCCGAACCGAGAGGUGCAACGGUCACUGUUGUAUCCCACGAUGGGUUGAACCAGAAGGCCAGAAAUGGGACCGC
rnacentral:lncRNA from 1 species